CCUACGGGUGGCAGCAGUGGGGAAUAUUGGGCAAUGGGCGCAAGCCUGACCCAGCAACGCCGCGUGAAGGAAGAAGGCUUUCGGGUUGUAAACUUCUUUUGAUAGGGAAGAGCAGAAGACGGUACCUGUCGAAUAAGCUAUGGCUAAAUACGUGCCAGCAGCCGCGGUAAUACGUAAGUGGCAAGCGUUGUCCGGAUUUACUGGGUGUAAAGGGCGUGUAGCCGGGCUGACAAGUCAGAUGUGAAAUCCGGGGGCUCAAACCCCCGAACUGCAUUUGAAACUGGUUGUCUUGAGUAUCGGAGAGGCAGGCGGAAUUCGUGGUGUAGCGGUGAAAUGCGUAGAUAUUAGGAAGAACACCGAUGGCGAAGGCAGCCUGCUGGACGGCAACUGACGGUGAGGCGCGAAAGCGUGGGGAGCAAACAGGAUUAGAUACCCGAGUAGUC
rnacentral:rRNA from 1 species